rnacentral:lncRNA from 1 species
GUGGGGGUGGAGGAAAAAACAUUCAUAGAUGUGCCCAGAGAUUUCUGGGCAGUGGGUAGUGUAUUUUAAAAAGUGGAAAACUAUACUGAGAAUAACACUGAGCUUUAAGGUGCUGGGAAGAGAAUGAGCAUAUGUGCUCUGGGAAAAGCAGGAGCUGGUGCGGCUGGAAGGGAAUUGAGGACGAAUUUAAAUCCAAGAAGAAGAUCAGCUAUAAAAGGCACCUACAAGGAAGUGGUUUAUUUCUUGGUUAAAAACACCAGUUUAGAGGGACUUCAUGCAUACUUUACAAGCUGACUCUGCAAAAAUACACUGCAGAUAUUCCUGGAAUGAACGGCAAAGGUAACUGCUCUGAAUUCUGAUGAGACAGCCUGGGAAGAGCUGGCACAUCUAUGAUCUAUCGUGGCCCUAUAAAAAAGGAAAGUGAAAAAGAAAAAUUGUUUGAUAAGCACACACACCAGGUGACUUAAAUCGCAAGAUCUUAUUUUAAUUCUCAUAACAGCCUUACGAGGCAAUGUUACCCCAUUUUACAGAGUGAGACAGGAUGAUGAAGACGUUAAGAUUGAAUCAAAGUCAUCCUGCUGGUAAGUGGCAGAGCUAGAAUUCAAAUCCCUGUUCUUGUCACCAUAUUACUGUCCAUUUGUAGUGGCUCUUCACUCUCUACCAUUCCUUGUCCUUAGUAGGGUGAUUCUACUGCUAUCCUUUUAUCCAAAAACUUUCUUGUGAGAGCCAGAUUUUCUACUUCCUUCAAAAGAACAACCCAGGGACCAAUGAUGUUAUAAAGGACUUAUGAGGAAAAUGGAAAUCCCUCACAGACAGAGAUGCUCUGGCUCUGAGAUGGGGAAAUCCAGAGAUGAAAAUUUUGUUUUCCUCACAGGUCUAUGGCAUUUUUAGUCAGUGGAUCCAACCAGAAUAUGAUUUAUUAAGAAUUUGAGACAUCAGUCAUUGUGAUUUCACAUACACACGUGUAUUAUUUUAUUAGCCAGACAGUGACAGUCAUUGUCAAGUGGAGGACCUAAUUCAGACUAAAUAAUCAUGCUCGUUUUGUCCACAGAGGACAAAAGAAUUUUGAGCAAUCUGAUUUUCAGAUGACUGAAUCUUUCUUUUUAGUUACUUGAAGGCAGUGAGAGGAGAGGUUGCUUGGACAGAACUCCUUCCCCAUUAGAUUCUACUCUUAAGCUCUAGACUUCGUAAAGAGAUGUUCUGGAGCUUUGAUUUCCUGAGGGGCUCAUUUUACAUCUUUUCUCCUGGAAACGUAACACCCUAUGUUUAUGCCAGUAGCUAGCAAAGGACCAAGGCAAGAUUUUUCAGGUAAACUCGAGAAGUUUUUGCCCGGGGUUCCCAGGAGUUUCCUUUUCUACGCCCAAGAGGCCAUUGUGCAAAAUGAGUCCUGAAUUUCAAGUGCUUUGAAAUUUCCCGAUAGAGUUUGGGUAAUUCCCAGUAGAUGGCGCUCAUCAGUAACUUUCUGAAAAAGCCAUGCCUUGAGCUUUUACAAAAGUACUGAAGAAAGACUUUUGAGAUUACAGCCUUGCUAUGUAAAAGAUACAUUUUGGCUCAUUUCCUGAUUCAUUGCCCAUUCUUUCAGAAAUCAGAAUUUGAAAGGGAGGAGGGAAGGUAACUUUCUCUUAGUUUAUAAAGUUACUUUCUUUAGUUUUUAAAAUUUGAUAACUUUAGUUAUCUGGCUCAGAGGAAAAAAGAAAACAAGUAGAAAAUAUUAUUUCUCCAUCUAGCUCCCAUUUUGGUUUGGUUUUUCCCACUUAGAGGAUCUGAAUGUAUCUCUCUCCCCUUUCUGAGCAGACUGUACCCUAGAGGUUUUUAUUUGGAUGUCAGUUGCUUAGACCUCAAAGUUACCUUCUUCUUGAAACAGGUGUUUUAAGAAAUGGUGGUGGUACCUUCAUAAAUGCC